rnacentral:lncRNA from 1 species
CUUGCCCAAUAUGUGGAGAGCAAUUUGCUGCUGAGGCGAUGGCCCUCCAUGCAAGUUCAUGUGGGGAAAGUUUUCCUCUGAAUUCCAUAAUGGCGGCUGCAUCUGAAAACAGCACUUCAGCACCAGAGGUUUCCACAAGCAGUGUCACUGAAAGCAGCCUUGCUAGCCCAUCCAGUUAUGGGUACUUAACACCUGGCACAUCACAAACCUCAGGGCCAGUACCUGCAAUAUCUGACGCCUGGAAGAGGGUUGAAGUUCCAGAGAGGGCAGCGAUACUAUACAGAAGGCAUUUGCUUCAGGAAAAAGAGGAUGAACCAACACUGAAAGUAAGAAUUGACAUGAGAGAGGACGUUGAAGAUCAGGAGGGACUA